rnacentral:rRNA from 1 species
AUGAACGCUAGCGGCAGGCCUAACACAUGCAAGUCGAGGGGCAUCACGAGGUAGCAAUACUUUGGUGGCGACCGGCGCACGGGUGCGUAACGCGUAUGUAACCUACCUAUAACAGGGGCAUAACACUGAGAAAUUGGUACUAAUUCCCCAUAAUAUUCGGAGAGGCAUCUCUCCGGGUUGAAAACUCCGGUGGUUAUAGAUGGACAUGCGUUGUAUUAGCUAGUUGGUGAGGUAACGGCUCACCAAGGCAACGAUACAUAGGGGGACUGAGAGGUUAACCCCCCACACUGGUACUGAGACACGGACCAGACUCCUACGGGAGGCAGCAGUGAGGAAUAUUGGUCAAUGGACGCAAGUCUGAACCAGCCAUGCCGCGUGCAGGAAGACGGCUCUAUGAGUUGUAAACUGCUUUUGUACGAGGGUAAACUCACCUACGUGUAGGUGACUGAAAGUAUCGUACGAAUAAGGAUCGGCUAACUCCGUGCCAGCAGCCGCGGUAAUACGGAGGAUUCAAGCGUUAUCCGGAUUUAUUGGGUUUAAAGGGUGCGUAGGCGGUUUGAUAAGUUAGAGGUGAAAUCCCGGGGCUUAACUCCGGAACUGCCUCUAAUACUGUUAGACUAGAGAGUAGUUGCGGUAGGCGGAAUGUAUGGUGUAGCGGUGAAAUGCUUAGAGAUCAUACAGAACACCGAUUGCGAAGGCAGCUUACCAAACUAUAUCUGACGUUGAGGCACGAAAGCGUGGGGAGCAAACAGGAUUAGAUACCCUGGUAGUCCACGCAGUAAACGAUGAUAACUCGUUGUCGGCGAUACACAGUCGGUGACUAAGCGAAAGCGAUAAGUUAUCCACCUGGGGAGUACGUUCGCAAGAAUGAAACUCAAAGGAAUUGACGGGGGCCCGCACAAGCGGAGGAACAUGUGGUUUAAUUCGAUGAUACGCGAGGAACCUUACCCGGGCUUAAAUUGCAGACGAAUUACUUGGAAACUUGUAAGCCGCAAGGCGUCUGUGAAGGUGCUGCAUGGUUGUCGUCAGCUCGUGCCGUGAGGUGUCGGCUUAAGUGCCAUAACGAGCGCAACCCUUGUUGUCAGUUACUAACAGGUGAUGCUGAGGACUCUGACAAGACUGCCAUCGUAAGAUGUGAGGAAGGUGGGGAUGACGUCAAAUCAGCACGGCCCUUACGUCCGGGGCUACACACGUGUUACAAUGGUAGGUACAGAGGGUCGCUACUCCGUGAGGAGAUGCCAAUCUCGAAAGCCUAUCUCAGUUCGGAUUGGAGGCUGAAACCCGCCUCCAUGAAGUUGGAUUCGCUAGUAAUCGCGCAUCAGCCAUGGCGCGGUGAAUACGUUCCCGGGCCUUGUACACACCGCCCGUCAAGCCAUGGAAGCUGGGGGUGCCUGAAGUUCGUGACCGCAAGGAGCGACCUAGGGCAAAACCGGUAACUGGGGCU